rnacentral:rRNA from 1 species
UACGUAGGGGCCUAGCGUUGUCCGGAUUUAUUGGGCGUAAAGAGCUCGUAGGCGGUUUGGUGAGUCGGGUGUGAAAUCUCCACGCUCAACGUGGAGGGGCCACCCGAUACUGCCAUGACUAGAGUCCGGUAGGGGAGUGUGGAAUUCCCGGUGUAGCGGUGAAAUGCGCAGAUAUCGGGAGGAACACCUGUGGCGAAGGCGGCCCCCUGGUUGGAUACUGACGCUGAGACGCGAAAGCGUGGGGAGCAGACAGG